AUUGAACGCUGGCGGCAUGCUUUACACAUGCAAGUCGAACGGUAACAGGUUAAGCUGACGAGUGGCGAACGGGUGAGUAAUGCAUCGGAACGUGCCCGGUCGUGGGGGAUGACGCAGCGAAAGCUGCGCUAAUACCGCAUACGAUCUAAGGAUGAAAGCGGGGGACCGUAAGGCCUCGCGCGAUCGGAGCGGCCGAUGUCAGAUUAGGUAGUUGGUGGGGUAAAGGCUCACCAAGCCAACGAUCUGUAGCUGGUCUGAGAGGACGACCAGCCACACUGGGACUGAGACACGGCCCAGACUCCUACGGGAGGCAGCAGUGGGGAAUUUUGGACAAUGGGCGAAAGCCUGAUCCAGCAAUGCCGCGUGCAGGAAGAAGGCCUUCGGGUUGUAAACUGCUUUUGUACGGAGCGAAAAGGUCUCCUCUAAUACAGGGGGCUCAUGACGGUACCGUAAGAAUAAGCACCGGCUAACAACGUGCCAGCCGCCGCCGUAA
rnacentral:rRNA from 1 species